UCUGUCUGCACGGAAAACACCACCACAGCUCAGUCUGACUGUCUGGUCUGCCGAGUGGGAAGCAAAGAGAGAGCAGCAGAGCUCUGAAAGUACCUCGUCCCUGAGAUGUCCAUGUGGGCCUGCAGCACCAGAUCCGUUGUACAAACGUCGUCCUCACCACAGUCUUUGAAGAACUGGAUCUGGAGGAGACAGCAGAUUUCUUGACGGUCGUCGGCCAGCCUUCGUCCAACACCGGACCGCUCUCUGUGUCGUUGAUCUUAAACCGAAGCGAGAAGCUGAUUGGACGAAUGUAGUCUGCCGUGUCCUGCAUCAAAGACAAUCAAAGGAACAAAACGAUCACGCUCAGGAUGAAUUUAGAGCUAUUUUUAGAAGUCCUCAUGUAGUUUUCUUGGUAGAAUCACAAGAUUUUGCUACGAGUUUUUAGUUUUGCUGCUUACAUGCAAUAAUAUCUACAGUGUUGGCUUUAUUUUAAAGCACAAAUAAACGUGUUCUUAUGUGAAGCAUCA